rnacentral:rRNA from 1 species
GACGAACGCUGGCGGCGUGCCUAAUACAUGCAAGUCGAACGAACUCUGGUAUUGAUUGGUGCUUGCAUCAUGAUUUACAUUUGAGUGAGUGGCGAACUGGUGAGUAACACGUGGGAAACCUGCCCAGAAGCGGGGGAUAACACCUGGAAACAGAUGCUAAUACCGCAUAACAACUUGGACCGCAUGGUCCGAGUUUGAAAGAUGGCUUCGGCUAUCACUUUUGGAUGGUCCCGCGGCGUAUUAGCUAGAUGGUGAGGUAACGGCUCACCAUGGCAAUGAUACGUAGCCGACCUGAGAGGGUAAUCGGCCACAUUGGGACUGAGACACGGCCCAAACUCCUACGGGAGGCAGCAGUAGGGAAUCUUCCACAAUGGACGAAAGUCUGAUGGAGCAACGCCGCGUGAGUGAAGAAGGGUUUCGGCUCGUAAAACUCUGUUGUUAAAGAAGAACAUAUCUGAGAGUAACUGUUCAGGUAUUGACGGUAUUUAACCAGAAAGCCACGGCUAACUACGUGCCAGCAGCCGCGGUAAUACGUAGGUGGCAAGCGUUGUCCGGAUUUAUUGGGCGUAAAGCGAGCGCAGGCGGUUUUUUAAGUCUGAUGUGAAAGCCUUCGGCUCAACCGAAGAAGUGCAUCGGAAACUGGGAAACUUGAGUGCAGAAGAGGACAGUGGAACUCCAUGUGUAGCGGUGAAAUGCGUAGAUAUAUGGAAGAACACCAGUGGCGAAGGCGGCUGUCUGGUCUGUAACUGACGCUGAGGCUCGAAAGUAUGGGUAGCAAACAGGAUUAGAUACCCUGGUAGUCCAUACCGUAAACGAUGAAUGCUAAGUGUUGGAGGGUUUCCGCCCUUCAGUGCUGCAGCUAACGCAUUACGCAUUCCGCCUGGGGAGUACGGCCGCAAGGCUGAAACUCAAAGGAAUUGACGGGGGCCCGCACAAGCGGUGGAGCAUGUGGUUUAAUUCGAAGCUACGCGAAGAACCUUACCAGGUCUUGACAUACUAUGCAAAUCUAAGAGAUUAGACGUUCCCUUCGGGGACAUGGAUACAGGUGGUGCAUGGUUGUCGUCAGCUCGUGUCGUGAGAUGUUGGGUUAAGUCCCGCAACGAGCGCAACCCUUAUUAUCAGUUGCCAGCAUUAAGUUGGGCACUCUGGUGAGACUGCCGGUGACAAACCGGAGGAAGGUGGGGAUGACGUCAAAUCAUCAUGCCCCUUAUGACCUGGGCUACACACGUGCUACAAUGGAUGGUACAACGAGUUGCGAACUCGCGAGAGUAAGCUAAUCUCUUAAAGCCAUUCUCAGUUCGGAUUGUAGGCUGCAACUCGCCUACAUGAAGUCGGAAUCGCUAGUAAUCGCGGAUCAGCAUGCCGCGGUGAAUACGUUCCCGGGCCUUGUACACACCGCCCGUCACACCAUGAGAGUUUGUAACACCCAAAGUCGGUGGGGUAACCUUUUAGGAACCAGCCGCCUAAGGUGGGACAGAUGAUUAGGGUG